rnacentral:rRNA from 1 species
UACGGAGGGUGCAAGCGUUACUCGGAAUCACUGGGCGUACAGCGCGCGCAGGCGGUCUUUUAAGUUGGAUGUGAAAGCCUACGGCUCAACCGUAGAACUGCAUCCAAAACUAUUAGACUAGAGUGUGGGAGAGGAAGAUGGAAUUAGUUGUGUAGGGGUAAAAUCCGUAGAGAUAACUAGGAAUACCAAAAGCGAAGGCAAUCUUCUGGAACACUACUGACGCUGAGGCGCGAAAGCGUGGGGAGCAAACAGGAGUAGAAACCCUAGUAGUCC